GUCAGGGAAGCAAUGAGGCGCGAUAAGUUUAAAGCUUAUAAAUGAAGUUUUAUUUCCCCUGUCU
rnacentral:tRNA from 1 species